GUAGGAGGCGAGCGUUAUCCGGAUUUACUGGGCGUAAAGAGCCCGUAGGCGGCUCUUCAAGUCGGAUGUAAAAUCUCCCGGCUCAACUGGGAGGGAUCAUUCGAUACUGUUGGGCUAGAGUGCAGCAGAGGAAAGUGGAAUUCCCGGUGUAGUGGUGAAAUGCGUAGAUAUCGGGAGGAACACCAGUGGCGAAGGCGGCUUUCUGGGCUGUAACUGACGCUGAGGUGCGAAGGCGUGGGUAGCAAACAGGAUUAGAUACCCUGGUAGUCCACGCAGUAAACGAUGGACACUAGGUAUAGGGAGUAUCGACCCUCUCUGUGCCGAACUAACGCUUUAAGUGUCCCGCC
rnacentral:rRNA from 1 species